UAUAAUAGUCAAACUUCACCCUAAAAUUGCUACCAUAAGCUAGUCAAACCAGGAUAAUAAUUUGAUAUUAAAGACAACAUCGUCAAUAUGAUAAAAUUGUUAAACAUUAAAGUGUUUCUCAUUAACCAUAAACUUGACCCAUUGUCAUCCAAAUCAAACUCGUCUUAGACCUCUUCACCUUCAUUCUCACAAUUACCCGAAAAUCAAUGAAAUUUUGAACACAAAUAAAAACUCUCUCCC
rnacentral:lncRNA from 1 species